GACGAACGCUGGCGGCGUGCUUAACACAUGCAAGUCGAACGGAAAGGCCUGCUUUUGUGGGGUGCUCGAGUGGCGAACGGGUGAGUAACACGUGAGUAACCUGCCCUUGACUUUGGGAUAACUUCAGGAAACUGGGGCUAAUACCGGAUAGGAGCUCCUGCUGCAUGGUGGGGGUUGGAAAGUUUCGGCGGUUGGGGAUGGACUCGCGGCUUAUCAGCUUGUUGGUGGGGUAGUGGCUUACCAAGGCUUUGACGGGUAGCCGGCCUGAGAGGGUGACCGGCCACAGUGGGACUGAGAUACGGCCCAGACUCCUACGGGAGGCAGCAGUGGGGAAUAUUGCACAAUGGGCGGAAGCCUGAUGCAGCAACGCCGCGUGCGGGAUGACAGCCUUCGGGUUGUAAACCGCUUUCGCCUGUGACGAAGCGUGAGUGACGGUAAUGGGUAAAGAAGCACCGGCUAACUACGUG
rnacentral:rRNA from 1 species